GGGGACAGUGAGGACCAGGAACCUCCAGGUGGCACCUCCGCGUUGGAGGACCCCAAUGGAGCGAUGGGUUCACGGGGCGAUGGGUUCUCGGGGUCUUUGGUGGCUUCUGGGGGACAGUGAGGUCCAGAUGGGGACACGGAGGUGACCCUGAGGUCCAUAUGGAUGUGGGUGACAAUGUGGUGACACUCCUGUCCCCAACCUUGGGGACAGUGAGGACCAGGAACCUCCAGGUGGCACCUCCGCAUUGGAGGACCCCAAUGGAGCGAUGGGUUCAUGGGGCGAUGGGUUCUUGGGGUCUUUGGUGGCUUCUGGGGGACACUGAGGUCAAGAAUGGGACACGGAGGUGACACCGAGGUCCACGUGGCCGUGGGUGACGCCGUGGUGGCCCCGUUGUCCCCAACAGGCGCUGAUGGAGCGCUUCAACGCCGACAAGCGCAUCUUCUGCUUCAUCCUCUCCACCCGCAGCGGCGGGGUGGGGGUCAACCUGGCGGGGGCCGACACCGUCAUCUUCUACGACAGCGACUGGAACCCGACGAUGGACGCACAGGCGCAGGACCGCUGUCACCGCAUCGGCCAAACGCGCGACGUCCACAUCUACCGGUUGAUCAGCGAGCGGACGGUGGAGGAGAACAUCCUGAAGAAAGCCAACCAGAAGCGCAUGCUGGGGGACAUGGCCAUCGAGGGCGGCAACUUCACCACCGCCUACUUCAAGCAGCAAACGAUCCGCGAGCUGUUCGACAUGGCGCCGGAGAAGGACGGGGACAGGGACAAGGACAAGGACAAGGACAGGGACAGGGACAGGGACGGGCCCCCCGAGGAAGAUGAGGACCCCGUGGCCACGCGGCGCACGCACAUCCUCGAGCAGGUCCGGCCCCGUGUCCCCAACCGUGUCCCCAACUGUGUCCCCAGCCGUGUCCUCCUGAUGUCCCCAUCCCUGUCCCCAUCUGUGUCCUCUUGAUGUCCCCAACCGUGUCCCCAACUGUGUCCCCAGCCCUGUCCCCAACCGUGUCCCCAGC
rnacentral:lncRNA from 1 species